AACGUAGGACACAAGCGUUAUCCGGAAUUACUGGGCGUAAAGGGAGUGCAGGCGGUUGCGUAAGUUAGGGGUGAAAGACUUCGGCUAAACCGGGGGAGGUCGUCUGAUACUGCGUAACUAGAGUGUGGUAGAGGCGUGUAGAAUUCCGGGUGUAGUGGUGAAAUGCGUAGAGAUCCGGAGGAACACCAGUGGCGAAGGCGACCUUCUGGACCGCUCCUGACACUCAUACACGAAAGCUAGGGGAGCAAACGGG
rnacentral:rRNA from 1 species